AUAGUUUCGAAAAUAUAAUUCAAAAAAAGGCUCAGAAGAAGACCAAUAUUUGAAUUCUAAAGGGGAAAAAGUACGGAUGGUAACCUUAAGCGUAUCGGUGAAUCUGGCGCUUGUUGGAGUAAUUUUUAUUUCCUUCGUUUGGAUCAGUCAAAGAGAUGUUGCCAAAACGAUAAGAUGGAAGAUAUACGAUGAAAAUUGUGACGUAAUCGAGGCUUUUAACUAAUCGUUACCCAUGGUGUAAGGCAAGUCAAUUCCCUUUUCAGACCAAUUCUAGAUCGCUCCAGUGCGCUGGCAAUGAUCAAUCAUAAUUAUGUGUUCAUUCAUCAAAACGUCUCGCAAGUCAUUUGCGCCAAAUGGCCAGCAUUUGUCAUAAAUGCAGUUGACACCCCUGUCAACACGUUGGAUUUAGGAGCUCAGUUUCAGAUUCAUGUUUUCCCGAGUCAAGAACAAUUGCGAUUGUGGUUUGUUUUUUCUUUUUUUGCAAACCAUCACGUGCUUGGAAGUGCUGACCCGAUGGUUGAUGAUGGAGGAGGAGGCUGCAAUCUUAUGACUGCUAGGCGUUUGGGUCUCAAAGAUAAAGCAUCGCCGCCGCCGCCGCCAUCGUAAUGUUUCGUAACCAGAUCGCCAACGGGUGGAUUAUACGCCUAGAUUUUCCUUCUAUAACCGUUUUCGACCGGAGAUCCUCGCAGUUGAGUCCCCUCAGUCACUGAUUUAAGGCCCUAUGCGCAACAGGCAGUGAUUCCGCCGUGAGUUCAACUGGUUCAACGAAGCGAUGCUUGACCUUUCGUUAUGAGCGAUCCAAGUUCCACCCAGAACCCGCGAGACAACUACCCACUGCCAAGAUGACGACGACGGCGGAGCCAUUAGUGUGUGGCUGCAAUAGAUGAAUAAUGAAGUAGCCGAUGAGCCGAUGAAUGGGGAACUCGGCCCGUGUCAGAGCGUGACGACGACGAUUCGUCCGAAGUAGACCUAUGCGCCGAUUUAAUUUUUGAUCGGCGAUGGUGUUCAUGUUGGAAAAUCCAUUAGUAAAAUGCACUUUAGUGCAUCAUUAGAAGAUAGAAGAUAGAAGAUAGAAGAUAGAAGACAAGAAGAUAGAAGAUAGAAGAUAGGAGAUAGAAGAUAGAA